rnacentral:rRNA from 1 species
CGUAGGAGACGAGCGUUAUCCGGAUUUACUGGGCGUAAAGCGUGUGCAGGCGGUUCGGCAAGUUGGAUGUGAAAUCUCCCGGCUCAACUGGGAGGGGUCGUUCAAUACUACCGAACUUGAGGUCAUCAGAGGAAGGUGGAAUUCCAGGUGUAGUGGUGAAAUGCGUAGAUAUCCGGAGGAACACCAGUGGCGAAGGCGGCCUUCUGGGAUGAUCCUGACGCUCAGACACGAAAGCUAGGGGAGCGAACGGGAUUAGAGACCCCGGUAGUCCUAGCUGUAAACGAUGUAGACUUGGCGUCGGAGGGUUCAAAACCUUCGGUGUCGUAGCUAACGCGAUAAGUCUACCGCCUGGGGACUACGGCCGCAAGGUUA